rnacentral:rRNA from 1 species
AGCGAACGCUGGCGGCAGGCCUAACACAUGCAAGUCGAACGAACCUUUCGGGGUUAGUGGCGGACGGGUGCGUAACCCGUGGGAACGUGCCUUUAGGUUCGGAAUAACUCAGGGAAACUUGUGCUAAUACCGAAUGUGCCCUUCGGGGGUACGAUUUAUCGUCUUUAGAGCGGACCGCGUCUGAUUAGCUAGUUGGUUGAGGUAAUGGCUCACCAAGGCGACGAUCAGUAGCUGGUUUGAGAGGAUGAUCAGCCACAUUGGGUCUGAGACACGGCCCAAACUCCUACGGGAGGCAGCAGUGGGGAAUCUUGCGCCAUGGGCGAAAGCCUGACGCAGCCAUGCCGCGUGAAUGAUGAAGGUCUUAGGAUUGUAAAAUUCUUUCACCGGGGACGAUAAUGACGGUACCCGGAGAAGAAGCCCCGGCUAACUUCGUG